GUUGGACAAUCUAGAUAGUUCAUCCGCAGGAUAUAUUAAGCCCAUUUUGUUCUAAUUCAUUUACACGAAGGAAAAAGCAGCGCAACACGGAAUGACGGAACGUCCUGUGCCAGAAGCCAACCUAAACCAUCGAGCUAGACCCGUUUGCCUGCAACCGACAACAACGCAACAGCGAAGGGCAGUCCAACAGGACGAAAAUGGUUGUUACAGAAGGCUCAGCUAAGUCACUUAAAGGCGCCUUUGUUUUUUGCGCCCAGGGACGAUUAAGCUAAAAUAGUGGGCACCAAUAACAUUUCAAGCACAUACAUAAGUUCAACUGACUGAAAAAAGAAGAAGAGGAGGCUCACCUCCUACGACCUGGUCCGCACUUCUCAGAGCCAUUUACAAAACGAUUUCCCACCUACUGCCCUAAACCUACAAUAAGCUAAGUUAGCAGUCUGCUGCUGCUGCGUGUUGUGGCUUUCUGACGUGGACGGCUGCUGCUGGUGCCACUACUGUUGCCUUCGGUGGAGCAGGGC